rnacentral:rRNA from 1 species
AUUGAACGCUGGCGGCAGGCCUAACACAUGCAAGUCGAGCGCGCGGCGGGCGGGUGAGUGAUGUAUGGGGGCUCCCCGAUAGAGGGGGAUAACAAUUGUAAACGGUGGCUCUUACCGCAUACUCUCUGAUUACCCAUAUGGGAUUUGCUAGUAUGUGAGGUAAUGGCUUACCCAGGCGACGAUCCCUAGCUGGUCUGAGAGGAUGAUCAGCCACACUGGGACGGAGACACGGCCCAGACUCCUACGGAGGCAGCAGUGGGGAAUAUUGCACAAUGGGUGCAAGCCUGAUGCAGCCAUGCCGCGUGUAUGAAGAAGGCCUUAGGGUUGUAAAGUACUUUCAGUGGGGAGGCGUUACCCGCAGAAGAAGCACCGGCUAACUCCGUGCCAGCAGCCGCGGUAAUAC